UGGCUCAGAACGAACGCUGGCGGCAUGCCUAACACAUGCAAGUCGAACGAAGCCUUCGGGCUUAGUGGCGCACGGGUGCGUAACGCGUGGGAACCUGCCCCUUGGUUCGGAAUAACAGUUAGAAAUGACUGCUAAUACCGGAUGAUGACGAAAGUCCAAAGAUUUAUCGCCGAGGGAUGGGCCCGCGUAGGAUUAGCUAGUUGGUGAGGUAAUGGCUCACCAAGGCGACGAUCCUUAGCUGGUCUGAGAGGAUGAUCAGCCACACUGGGACUGAGACACGGCCCAGACUCCUACGGGAGGCAGCAGUGGGGAAUAUUGGACAAUGGGCGAAAGCCUGAUCCAGCAAUGCCGCGUGAGUGAUGAAGGCCUUAGGGUUGUAAAGCUCUUUACCAGGGAUGAUAAUGACAGUACCUGGAGAAUAAGCUCCGGCUAACUCCGUG
rnacentral:rRNA from 1 species